rnacentral:rRNA from 1 species
CCUACGGGAGGCAGCAGUAGGGAAUCUUCCACAAUGGGCGCAAGCCUGAUGGAGCAACGCCGCGUGAGUGAAGACGGCCUUCGGGUUGUAAAGCUCUGUCUGUCGGACGAAGACCGGACGGGAGUCCCGGGGAGCCGGUACCGACGAAGGAAGCCCCUGCAAACUACGUGCCAGCAGCCGCGGUAAGACGUAGGGGGCAAGCGUUGUCCGGAAUUACUGGGCGUAAAGGGCGUGUAGGCGGUGCGAUACGUAGCGGUCUUAAGCCUCCGGCUCACCCGGAGGAGGGCGGCUAAACGGUCGCACUGGAGGGCAGGAGAGGUGCGUGGAAUUCCUGGUGGAGCGGUGAAAUGCGUAGAGAUCAGGAAGAACACCAGUGGCGAAGGCGGCGCACUGGCCUGACCCUGACGCUGAGGCGCGACAGCGUGGGGAGCAAACGGGAUUAGAUACCCCGGUAGUCCACGCCGUAAACGAUGGAUACUAGGUGUCGUGGGGGUCCACCCUGCGGUGCCGGAGCUAACGCACUAAGUAUCCCGCCUGGGAAGUACGGCCGCAAGGUUAAAACUCAAAGGAAUUGACGGGG